rnacentral:rRNA from 1 species
CUCAUCAUCGACCGAUAGUGAACCAGUACCGUGAGGGAAAGGCGAAAAGAACCCCGGGAGGGGAGUGAAAUAGAACCUGAAACCUGAUGCAUACAAACAGUGGGAGCACCCUUGUGGUGUGACUGCGUACCUUUUGUAUAAUGGGUCAACGACUUACAUUCAGUAGCGAGCUUAACCGAAUAGGGGAGGCGUAGGGAAACCGAGUCUUAAUAGGGCGAACAGUUGCUGGGUGUAGACCCGAAACCGAGUGAUCUAUCCAUGGCCAGGUUGAAGGUGCCGUAACAGGUACUGGAGGACCGAACCCACGCAUGUUGCAAAAUGCGGGGAUGAGCUGUGGAUAGGGGUGAAAGGCUAAACAAACUCGGAGAUAGCUGGUUCUCCCCGAAAACUAUUUAGGUAGUGCCUCGAGCAAGACACUGAUGGGGGUAAAGCACUGUUAUGGCUAGGGGGUUAUUGCAACUUACCAACCCAUGGCAAACUAAGAAUACCAUCAAGUGGUUCCUCGGGAGACAGACAGCGGGUGCUAACGUCCGUUGUCAAGAGGGAAACAACCCAGACCGCCAGCUAAGGUCCCAAAUGAUAGAUUAAGUGGUAAACGAAGUGGGAAGGCCCAGACAGCCAGGAUGUUGGCUUAGAAGCAGCCAUCAUUUAAAGAAAGCGUAAUAGCUCACUGGUCGAGUCGUCCUGCGCGGAAGAUGUAACGGGGCUCAAAUCUAUAACCGAAGCUGCGGAUGCCAGUUUACUGGCAUGGUAGGGGAGCGUUCUGUAGGCCGAUGAAGGUGCAUUGUAAAGUGUGCUGGAGGUAUCAGAAGUGCGAAUGUUGACAUGAGUAGCGAUAAAGCGGGUGAAAAGCCCGCUCGCCGAAAGCCCAAGGUUUCCUACGCAACGUUCAUCGGCGUAGGGUGAGUCGGCCCCUAAGGCGAGGCAGAAAUGCGUAGUCGAUGGGAAACAGGUUAAUAUUCCUGUACUUGAUUCAAAUGCGAUGUGGGGACGGAGAAGGUUAGGUUAGCAAGCUGUUGGAAUAGCUUGUUUAAGCCGGUAGGUGGAAGACUUAGGCAAAUCCGGGUCUUCUUAACACCGAGAAGUGAUGACGAGUGUCUACGGACAUGAAGUAACCGAUACCACGCUUCCAGGAAAAGCCACUAAGCUUCAGUUUGAAUUGAACCGUACCGCAAACCGACACAGGUGGGCAGGAUGAGAAUUCUAAGGCGCUUGAGAGAACUCAGGAGAAGGAACUCGGCAAAUUGAUACCGUAACUUCGGGAGAAGGUAUGCCCUCUAAGGUUAAGGACUUGCUCCGUAAGCCCUGGAGGGUCGCAGAGAAUAGGUGGCUGCGACUGUUUAUUAAAAACACAGCACUCUGCUAACACGAAAGUGGACGUAUAGGGUGUGACGCCUGCCCGGUGCUGGAAGGUUAAUUGAAGAUGUGCAAGCAUCGGAUCGAAGCCCCAGUAAACGGCGGCCGUAACUAUAACGGUCCUAAGGUAGCGAAAUUCCUUGUCGGGUAAGUUCCGACCCGCACGAAUGGCGUAACGAUGGCCACACUGUCUCCUCCUGAGACUCAGCGAAGUUGAAGUGGUUGUGAAGAUGCAAUCUACCCGCUGCUAGACGGAAAGACCCCGUGAACCUUUACUGUAGCUUUGCAUUGGACUUUGAAGUCACUUGUGUAGGAUAGGUGGGAGGCUUUGAAGCAGAGACGCCAGUCUCUGUGGAGCCGUCCUUGAAAUACCACCCUGGUGUCUUUGAGGUUCUAACCCAGACCCGUAAUCCGGGUCGGGGACCGUGCAUGGUAGGCAGUUUGACUGGGGCGGUCUCCUCCCAAAGAGUAACGGAGGAGUUCGAAGGUUACCUAGGUCCGGUCGGAAAUCGGACUGAUAGUGCAAUGGCAAAAGGUAGCUUAACUGCGAGACCGACAAGUCGAGCAGGUGCGAAAGCAGGACAUAGUGAUCCGGUGGUUCUGUAUGGA